UACAGAGGGGGCAAGCGUUGUUCGGAAUUACUGGGCGUAAAGGGCGCGUAGGCGGAUAUUUAAGUCGGGGGUGAAAGCCCAGGGCUCAACCCUGGAACAGCCUUCGAUACUGGAUAUCUUGAGUACGGGAGAGGUGUGUGGAACUCCGAGUGUAGAGGUGAAAUUCGUAGAUAUUCGGAAGAACACCAGUGGCGAAGGCGACACACUGGCCCGUUACUGACGCUGAGGCGCGAAAGCGUGGGGAGCAAACAGGAUUGAGA
rnacentral:rRNA from 1 species